GGCCUAGUGGCGAAAUGAAUUGUGCCCCCACUUGUUGAAGAUCUUCCACCGGCAAUACUCGAGGGAGUUCCUGGUUCGAACCCAGGCUAAGUCA